AUUGAACGCUGGCGGCAGGCCUAACACAUGCAAGUCGAACGAGCGGCGGACGGGUGAGUAAUGUAUGGGAAACUGCCCGAUAGAGGGGGAUAACUACUGGAAACGGUAGCUAAUACCGCAUACCAUCAGAUGUACCCAUAUGGGAUUAGCUAGUUGGGGGGGUAAAGGCUCACCUAGGCGACGAUCCCUAGCUGGUCUGAGAGGAUGACCAGCCACACUGGAACUGAGACACGGCCCAGACUCCUACGGGAGGCAGCAGUGGGGAAUAUUGCACAAUGGGCGCAAGCCUGAUGCAGCCAUGCCGCGUGUAUGAAGAAGGCCUUCGGGUUGUAAAGUACUUUCAGCGGGGAGGCGUUACCCGCAGAAGAAGCACCGGCUAACUCCGUGCCAGCAGCCGCGGUAAUAC
rnacentral:rRNA from 1 species